GAUGAACGCUGGCGGCGUGCCUAAUACAUGCAAGUCGAGCGAACAGACGAGGAGCUUGCUCCUCUGACGUUAGCGGCGGACGGGUGAGUAACACGUGGAUAACCUACCUAUAAGACUGGGAUAACUUCGGGAAACCGGAGCUAAUACCGGAUAAUAUAUUGAACCGCAUGGUUCAAUAGUGAAAGACGGUUUUGCUGUCACUUAUAGAUGGAUCCGCGCCGCAUUAGCUAGUUGGUAAGGUAACGGCUUACCAAGGCAACGAUGCGUAGCCGACCUGAGAGGGUGAUCGGCCACACUGGAACUGGGACACGGUCCAGACUCCUACGGGAGGCAGCAGUGGGGAAUCUUCCGCAAUGGGCGAAAGCUUGACGGAGCAACGCCGCGUGAGUGAUGAAGGUCUUCGGAUCGUAAAACUCUGUUAUUAGGGAAGAACAAAUGUGUAAGUAACUAUGCACGUCUUGACGGUACCUAAUCAGAAAGCCACGGCUAACUACGUG
rnacentral:rRNA from 1 species